rnacentral:rRNA from 1 species
UACAGAGGGUGCGAGCGUUGUCCGGAAUCACUGGGCGUAAAGGGCGCGUAGGCGGCCUGAUAAGUAGGGGGUGAAAUCCUGUGGCUCAACUGCAGGGCUGCCUCCUAGACUGUCGGGCUUGAGCACGGUAGAGGCAGAUGGAAUUCCCGGUGUAGCGGUGGAAUGCGUAGAGAUCGGGAAGAACAUCGGUGGCGAAGGCAAUCCCCUGGGCCUGCACUGACGCUCAUGCACGAAAGCGUGGGGAGCAAACAGG